rnacentral:rRNA from 1 species
GGUAAGUAUAUGAAAUUCUAUGGGCGAAUAGGGCGCCCCGUCGUAUUUUCCCCGCCGCCUGGCCGCGGGAUUCUUCUUCUUUUGGCGGCAGUGAGGAAUAUUGUUCAAUGGGCGCCAGCCUGAACCAGCCACGCCGCGUGAGGGAAGAAUGGUCCUUGGGCUGUAAACCCCUUUUGUCAAGGAAAAAUAAAUUGCGCGCUUGCGAUCUUGCCACUACUUGACUAAUAAGCAUCGGCUAACUCCGUGCCAGCAGCCGCGGUAAUACUCGGGGAUGCCAGCGUUAUCCGGAUUGCAUUGGGUUUAAAGGGCGCGUAGGCGGGACGCCAUGUCAGCGGUCAAAGACUGUAUUUAAACUGUAGCACGCCGUUGAAACUGGCGCCCUCGAGACGAGACGAGGGAGGCGGAACAAGUGAAUUAGCGGUGAAAUGCUUACAUAUCACUUGGAACCCCGAUAGCGAAGGCAGCUUCCCAGGCUCGAUCUGACGCUGAUGCGCGAGAGCGUGGGGAGCGAACAGGAUUAGAUACCCUGGUAGUCCACGCCGUAAACGAUGCUCACUAGGUGUGCGGGGACUGACCCCCUGCGUGCCGCAGUUAACACAAUAAGUAUCCCACCUGGGGAGUACGAUCGCAAGGUUGAAACUCAAAGGAAUUGACGGGGGCCCGCACAAGCGGAGGAUUAUGUGGUUUAAUUCGAUGAUACGCGAAGAACCUUACCAGGACUUGACAUCCUACUAACGAAGUAGAGAUACAUCAGGUGCCCUUCGGGGAAAGUAGAGACAGGUGGUGCAUGGUUGUCGUCAGCUCGUGUCGUGAGAUGUUGGGUUAAGUCCCGCAACGAGCGCAACCCCUAUUGUUAGUUGCUACGCAAGAGCACUCUAGCGAGACUGCCGUUGACAAAACGGAGGAAGGUGGGGACGACGUCAAAUCAUCAUGCCCCUUAUGUCCUGGGCUACACACGUAAUACAAUGGCGGUCAACAGAGGGAUGCAAAUGCCGCGAGGCAGAGCGAACCCGUAAAAGCCGUCCCAGUUUGGAUCGCAGGCUGCAACCCGCCUGCGUG